GACAGAGGGUGCAAAUGUUGUUCGGAAUUACUGGGCGUAAAGCGCGUGUAGGCUGCUCGGAUAGUCGGGUGUGAAAGCCCUGGGCUCAACCCAGGAAGUGCAUUCGAUACUGCCGAGCUUGAGUCCUGGAGAGGAAGGCGGAAUUCUCGGUGUAGAGGUGAAAUUCGUAGAUAUCGAGAGGAACACCGGUGGCGAAGGCGGCCUUCUGGGACAGUGACUGACGCUGAGACGCGAAAGCGUGGGGAGCAAACAGG
rnacentral:rRNA from 1 species